AGGUUUUUGUUGAUCUUCAUGCCUCCAAGCUCACCAAGGUUUUAAUGGUAUUUCGGGACUACCAGGAUUAAGACUUUGUGGACGUUAGUCUUGUAAGUUGCCAUUAUUGAGUGAAAACCCUUAGAUUUUAUCCGGCCAGAAUUUCGUUGCAGCGAGAAUGCCUUUUCACUGCGGU